rnacentral:rRNA from 1 species
GACGAACGCUGGCGGCGUGCUUAACACAUGCAAGUCGAACGGAAAGGCCCUGCUUUUGUGGGGUGCUCGAGUGGCGAACGGGUGAGUAACACGUGAGUAACCUGCCCUUGACUUUGGGAUAACUUCAGGAAACUGGGGCUAAUACCGGAUAGGAGCUCCUGCUGCAUGGUGGGGGUUGGAAAGUUUCGGCGGCUGGGGAUGGACUCGCGGCUUAUCAGCUUGUUGGUGGGGUAGUGGCUUACCAAGGCUUUGACGGGUAGCCGGCCUGAGAGGGUGACCGGCAAAAUGGGACUUAGAAUCCGGCCAAGACCCUACGGGGAGGAGGAGGGGGGGAAUAUGGACCAAGGGGGGGAAGCUGGUUGAAGAACGGCGGGGGGGGGAAGACCGGCUUUCGGGUUGAAACCGGCUUUGGCUCGUAAGGAGGCGUGGGGGAGGGUAAUGGGAAAAGAAGAACGGGUUACUUACGU